GCUCUCACCUCCUUUAGGCAUCGUCAACUUUCCCUCUUCACUAUUCUAUUUUAAUUUUAAUUUUUAUUAAUAAUAAUAAAGCCCUGCCCCGUUUUAAGUGUUUUAACUCCCGAUCACCGCUACCUUUUCUGAUUGAUCUGAGCCCCAUAACUCAGGUCAGGGCUCUGCCCGACUAAGUUCGUUGGGAUUCUGUCUCGGGACAUCGAGACAAGGUUGAAUUAGGAGUACUAUACUUAACACGAGUGCAUUAUAUAUUUUUAAUAACUUAGAAGUUAUACCCAAAAUUUAUACCAGGAGAUUUUCUAGUUGAACCCUAAAGUUAUAAAGUGGGUACAUUCUCUUUUCUCACCAUUUUAUUCCUUUUUAUCCCAAACCAUAACAACUUUCACCAAAACUACUAUUUAUUAUUUUAUUUGCCCAAUAGGAAACCCUAAUUGAGACACCCAAGUAAUCCUGCACAACUCCUAAAAUUUUCAUAACAAUCAGAAUCAGGAUCAGGGCCCCUAAAACUCGGGGGGGGGGGGGGGGGUAUUCCCUACUUGACGAUUAUCCAUAUAACUCGCUGUAGAAAUCGAAUUUAUCAAUUACGUCGACUCAUCUAGGCUACCAGGACACGAAGCAACCCUAUGCUGAAAUUGGACCCGUCGCGUCUCGCGAAGGAGACAGGUCUCCCUGUCGCGACACACGAGGGAGACCAUUUUCCAGCUAUAAAUAGAAGGGUGUGGGACUUAGAUUUCUGCAUUUGAACGUCGAACAAAUUCGUUUUACACUUCGAGAUAUCACCCGAUUACUAUCAAACACACACUAGCUCGAAUUCUGCUACGAUACAGGGUAUUAACUUGAUCGCUGCUACGAUUCAAUAUCUGAUCGAUUGAAACUAUCCGACAUGAUGUUUAAAUGCUAUACUUUGUCAUUAAUUGUGAUUCCGACAGGAUGUUUGAGUACCACCCGAACUAGGGGUGUAAACGAGCCGAACCGAGCCGAGCCAGUAUAGGCUCGAGCUCGGGCUCGAAGAAAAACGAGCCGAGCCAGCUCGGCUCGAAAAAUUGUAACGAGCUGAUUAUAUAGGCUCGAGCUCCGCUCGAAAAAAUCUCAAGCCAGCUCGAAGCUCGUUAAACUAGCUCGAAAAUUUGUGUAACUUGUGUAAUUUUACUUUUAAUAAAUGACCACCAACUACCGAACUAAGAGUAUAAGAAAGUCCAAAUCACCAAAAGGGUCAACUUGGACCAGUAAUUAUUUUCACUGAGGGGUUCUUCAUUUAUAGAUAGCAUCCCCUCUAUAUUCUUUAUUUCAGCAGCGAUGUGGGAUAAACUUUUACCCCAAUCCUUUCUUUUCUUUUAUAGCUAAUCCCACCUUUGUAUAUAUUAAUCCUAGGCGAUGUGGGACUUAUCUUUUGAGCCAAUUCUUUCAUAAAACCUGCAUAUUAAUUUGUGUGCAAGUUCGAACUUUCUUAUGUUUGGCUGUAUGCAAGCUGUGGCCAGCUAGUAUCAAAAUUCUUACAUAACUAAUUUGAUAAUAUAUCACACAAGCAACCAAAGCUAGAGGCUAUAAUGUGGAAAAAUAUCAUAGCUUUCAUUUUCAAACUUGAUUCUAUUUUAUAACGUUAUAUACAAAGAUGAACCUGAAAAUUAUAUGCACACACAUGUAUAUAUAAUUAGCCUUUUAAUUAUAACGAGCCCAACGAGCGAGCCAACGAACCACCUAACGAGCGAGCCACGAACCGAACCUACAUUGGCUCGGGCUCGGCUCGUUUACAAAUCGAGCCGAGCCUAGCCGGCUCGUUUAUAACGGAGCCAAUUUCGAACCGAGCUUUUUUCGAACUUUUUUCGAGCGAACUUCGAGCGAGCCGCGAGCUGCGAGAUUUUUGAACAGCCCUAACCCGAACUCAGGGUGUACUCUGUCAUUCAUUGCGAAUCCGAUGGAUGUUUAAGUAUUGCACUUUGUCAUUCGUUUUAAUUACCUAGUUUCGUGGGCAUAAUCGCUUAAAUUAGGUUAUCAGGCUUAUCAGUAGGCUAAACUUCACCACAUACACUUACAAUCAAAGUAGAUGCUAAUUCUCAGAAGAAUGUGGGGUAUUGUGCACAUUACUAUUGUUUUUAUCAGUUUAGGUGGGCGUACCUAAAUCAUGAUACACUUUUAGGUGAACGGACCUAAAUAGUGAUAUACGUCACUGGUGGGUGAACGGACCCAACAGUGAUAUGACCACAGUCACCGAAACGAGUCGAGUGACAAAUACUGUGGGUAGUUGGUUGACAUAGAAACAUUGUAAUCGCUCUUAAUACUGUAAAUUAUAACCAAACAUUUUUUAAACAAAAAGAAUGAUUCACUCAGUAUUUCCCGUUGACAAAACCUUUUUAAAACGCGUUUCAGAUAAUUACAGUAGAUUGGAGUAAGAGUUGGAUACGGCACUGAAAGGCUUCAAGAAGUGGCUUAUUUUAUUAAUUAAAUCAAAUUAAGAAAUAUUGUUUUAUGUAAUUGGGUUAUCCCUUAAUAAAGCUACCUUUGUAAAACAUGGAAUUUAUUCCAUCUAUUUAAAUAAAAUCCAGUGUUUCUAAACUCUGAUAUUUUUCCUAACUCACGGUCCUGAUGAAAUUUCCGUUGCAAUGUUUUUCAAAAAUAAACCACCGGUACCAAUGGGCUGCUCACGGCUCCUGAUUCCGUCUAGGUAGGGUCGGGGGUCGUGACAGUAUCAUCACCUGGUAGAAGCUAACUGUCGCUAUUGCGCAAAUUGCAACUCUCUGGGUUAUCUUACCCAGCACUGUUGCAUAGGGCCACGAACUUGAGGAACGCCAGCAACAAUCGUAGUCUCCGCAGAAGUCUUCUAUCGCAACAUCGACUAUGCUCUUAACGAUGUUGUAAUAAUACGAUUUUCGAUUGUUAAAUAUUCAUGUGUGGAACUUAUGCUACUACUCGAUGCAACGUUGAUUCUGUUUCUCU
rnacentral:lncRNA from 1 species